UGGCGGACGGGUGAGUAAUGUCUGGGAAACUGCCCGAUGGAGGGGGAUAACUACUGGAAACGGUAGCUAAUACCGCAUAACGUCGCAAGACCAAAGAGGGGGACCUUCGGGCCUCUUGCCAUCGGAUGUGCCCAGAUGGGAUUAGCUAGUAGGUGGGGUAAAGGCUCACCUAGGCGACGAUCCCUAGCUGGUCUGAGAGGAUGACCAGCCACACUGAAACUGAGACACGGUCCAG
rnacentral:rRNA from 1 species